AGCCCUGCUUCUUACCUUCUGCCCUGGUUGUUUUGCAGCUAAUUCAGUAAUUGCUGCUCACCUGAUCAGGUGUGUUCAGUCAGUCAGAAGCUAAGCUCAGACAAUCCAGCUAAUCAGGAAUUGCUGAAGCUGUAAAACAAGCAGGGUAUUAGCUAUGAGAAACAAGGUUAAUGACGGCUGAUUUAGAGGCGAUUUCACCACUGACUUUAUGUUUUAAAAUCACACGUCCUUUAACAAUAACUCCACCUGCCUCAGAUGAGAGGACCAUUUCCAGCGUGGAAUGCUGCGAAUGACUCACUUAAUUUCAUACAAAGUAAUUUAUUUGCUUUGCUUAUUGUAUGUACUUUUUCUUCAUUGUUGAAGGUAAAUGGUAUAUCCUCAUGAAGCAUUAUUGCCUUCCUUGAAGGCCCAAAGUGCUUUAUGUUCACAGUCCCAUUUACCUACAUUGGACAGGCAAGGCAGAAAUGCAAUCUUCCAAUCAGAGGUCAACCGCUCUCGCUCCAUGGCCGCCAGAUACUAGACCCAUGGUUGCUCAACUUCUUCAAUGACCUAUGACCAAUAGAAUCAAAAUCCUUCAACAGAUUACAAAUAUUUUUCUGUCAUUUCUGGUGAAGGAUUAUCCAUUUACGUCACACAUUGUGAUAUUGUUUUUGUUUUUUUUUCAUUUUUAUCGUGUAACUGAGAAACACAUUGUCAAUAAUUUCAGCUAAUUGACAGGCUGUGUCUUUAAUAUGUAUAAAUAAUGGGUAGAAACUUUUCAGGUCUGUGGUUCUCUGAGGUCUAUUGUUUAUAUUUGUACACAUAUUAACCUUAACUGCAGAACUUUAAACUGAUUUCAUUUUAACAUUGGUGUCUUCUGGAGAUUUCUCUUUUGUUUUGUUAGUCUCACUGAAACAGAGGAAAGUUAUGUAUGUGUUAUUAGAAUGCAUCACUGUGUAAUGGCCAAACUUUGAAAUAUCUUGCUUGUUAGUAAACAGUGCCAUCUAUUGGUGCUAUGAGAAUUUGCCUGGUAUUUGUUUUUAGCACUGUCACACAAAAGUCUUCACAUUGAAACCGUGUCACAGCCACUUUAUACUCCUUCAUUGUUCUUUUCAUUUUUCUUCUUUUUUUUUUUUUUGAUCAAUCAAUUCUUUUCAUGGAAGAUUGCAGGUUUGCUUCCCACUCAUGUGUCAAAGUGUCUUUGGGUUAGACACUGACUCCCACAUUGCUCCUGGUGGUUAUAGUUUGGUCCCAGGGUUCAGAAGAGCAUGUGUGAAUGGGACUUUAAAGCACUUUGGGCCUUCUAAGGAGGUAUAGUAACGUGCUAUAUAGAUGUACGCCAUUUACCAUUUUCUCUUAUCAUCUUCCCCUCUUACUACAGGGCAGCAUCUCAGCAGAGAAGUCCAGACCUCCAUCUAUUUAAGAAAACUCCAAGGUGCUCCUAGUCCAGCCAAAAGAGCAUCCUGGCUCCUCCCCAGAGCCUCCUCCAAGUGUGACAGGUCUGGAAUGGAUCCUCACAGAGGAGUCAUCUCAACUGGCCUACAGUGUGGAGGAGUAGCAGCUCUCCUCCAGGAUACCUGAGCUCCUCGCCAUAACUCUAAAACUCAUUUCAACAGUUUGCUUUUUGGAGCUUCUCCUUUCUUACGGGAUCCAAAGCUCCUGAACAAAGUGCUGUUGAAGUUACAAACUCAGUUAAUGGAGAAUUGAGAAGUGUGUCUUUUGGAUCAGCUUCUUCUUUAUUUUACCGGAUCGUUCCAGGAUUCUUGCAGGCGCUGCACCUCUCCACCUGUCAGUCUCAAGCUCCACCUUUCCUUCAUUUGUGAACAGAACCUACAUGAGAUAAAAACAAAUAAAAGUAGAAAUAGAGGAAGUUCUUAGACAAUGAGCUCUUAGACAAUGAGCUAAAAUGACUUUUGUUUAAUUAUAUUUUAACAAAAUACACACACAAAAAAAUUGCCUUUCAUUUGCUUGGACAGAAAAAUUGAUUAUUUCCAUCCAUUCAUCCAUCUUCUUCAGCUCAUGUGGACCGGGUCAUGGGGCAGCAUUCUAAGCAAUUUUUCUAAAUGUCCCUCUCCCCGGUCACUUCCUCCAGCUCCUGUGGGAGGACCCUGAGGCAUUCCCAGGCCAGUCUCUCCAGCGUGUCCUGGCUCUUCCCUGGGGCCUCCGUCCAGGAACACCUCUCCAGGGAAGCGUGCAAGAGGCAUCCGGAUCAGAUGCCUGAGCCACCUCAUCUGGCUCCUCUGAAUGUAGAGGAGAAGCGGCUCUACUUCAUGCUCUUUCUGGGUGACCAAACUUCUCAUCCUAUCUCUAAGGGAGAGCCCAGCAACCCUCCGGAGGAAGCUCAUUUCAGCUGCUCGUAGACGGGACAUUGUUCUUCAGUCAUGAUCCAGAGCUCAUGACAAUAGGUGUGUACUAGAAUGAAGAUCCACUGGUAAAUUGACAGCUUUGAUUUCUGGUUCAGCUCUCUCCACAACAGACCGGUGCAGCGACCGCAUAACGGCUAAUGCUGGUCCAAUCCGCCUGUCGAUCUCACAUUCCGAUGAACAAAACCCUAAGAAAUUUAAACUCCUCCACCUGAGGCAGGAGCACUCCACCCACCGAGAGAGGGCAAACUACUAAUUUUUGUAUUUAUUUUAACUUACUGCAGAAAGAUUUGCUUGAUUUUACUUGAAAGGUUAGUUUCUUGGAAUCAAGGCAUAGAACUUAAACAAUACAAAGAAGCUUCAGUGUAAGAGCUCCUGACAAGUGGAAUCAUUUGAUUAAAGAAAGAAAGGUGGCAAAACCCAAUGACACAUUUAAAGAUAUAAUCUACUUAUUUUAGACAAAAAAUAUGUCAAGAAACAUUUGAUUUAUUUAUAAAUGUAUUUAUUAUAUACAGUAGUUUUGUACCCGACUGGAAUCAUAUGGCACUAAGUCUUUCAGAAUAGUGCUGUGAAAGAAGCAAGAUUUGCAAGAUUUUCACCACUUUGACAUUUCCCAUCAAGCCUCUCUCAACUGUAGGUGGCGGACAUGUGCUAGUAAACCGUAGAAAAAGAGAAAGAAGCCCCUCCCUGCUCAUCUAAUGUGAACAUCAGGGGCUAAAAGUGCAUUCAAGAACCCACACUUAGUCAGUUCUUGAACACGCCACACAUGUCCAACGUCAUGGUAGCUUUAGUGUUGACCCUUGAAUGAUUGAAAAUCAAAAAAUUUCAAUGCCUUCAUAUUUUACACUCUAGACAGUUGAGGGCUGUACAGUGGCGUACGCAGUACUAGGCGUGCAGAGUAAUCAAACAUGCUUCAUUGGUUAAUUGAUAAGUUGCCCUAGUUGUAAAUUUGGUUAUGUGGCCAUGUGAUAGACUAGCAGCUUGUCCAGGGUGAACCCCACUUCUGCCCUGGAUCCAGCAACCCCAUAACCCCAAAAAUAAUUCAGCCAGUUAGCAAGAUGGAUGGAUGGACAUCGUGUCAACUGUUUUGAUCUGGUUCCCUCAGAUGAUCUAAGAGUGUUUCAUCAGGACUCUGCUGCAGUGGAAUGCUGACUGUCACAAAAAUGCUUUGCAUCAUGUUCUGCUUCCCCGAUGACAGAUGACGCCCUCCUGUGUUCUUGCAGUCAUUUUGGUCAUGUUUCCUCCAUGUGUGGAUAAUGAACCCACAGUGGUUCUCUGGAGUUAACGUUGAAGAAACGUAACUGUAACUUUGAUCGUUCUUAAGUUUCUUCAGAUGCAGUUAAAGAGUCAGAGCUUUUACAACUGAUUGACAGUCAUACUCAUAGGAUUCCUGCAUCCAACAGGUUUGAACUGCAUGGAAAGAAACUGCUGUACUCUCUCCGGUUGGAACAUCGACUUCUUUAAGUUGUUUGCGUGACAUUUCUUUGACACAAAUCAUUCAGUGUCAAAAAAAAAAAAAAAAAAAAAAAAACAGGAAUAGGUCAAGUACUUUCUCACAUCAUGCAUAAAUAGCACUAAGGAUGGGGGGCUCCUGUGCUCUGACACCGAUCCUGACACUGAUCAGUGUGGGGGCCGCUAGCUGUGAGCUCAUUAAAGUAGAUCGGUAAGGUGAGCCCGGCUGUGAGCUCCCUGCUGCUGACUAGCAGGAUAGGUGCUGACCCAGAGGCGCUGCUGCCAAACCCCGCCCGCCCCCCACAGUUAUUCAGGGCUCCGGCCCGCUUCAGGACAUUUCUGCUGCACCUCCAGGACUCGAGCUGCUCCGGAAUGAUGUCAAACAGGACGGCUGCUAGAAGAAGAAAGAGGAAAAUCCACGGGGGGCUAUGUGGGACCUCUUCCCCCCAAGAAGAACAUCCUCACCAGAAUGGGGGAACAGACUCUUCACCUGGGAGCAGCUCGCCUGCACAGAGUGACAGUGCAAUCCUGUAUCUGAAUCCUCAGACACCAGACUGCACGCUGCUGGAGAGGUUUGCUGAGCUUUCAUCAACUGAAACAAACGCUGUGGAUGAGUCUGAAGAGCGGCGUGAGAAGGGGAAGCAACAUACCCUCAAACAAAGACGCAACGCUUCUCUGAAUCCUGAUGACCCCAAGGACAUGGAGAGAAGUUCCUUGGCUGAAGUCCAGGGGAAUUCCAUCAGUUCUUCCGUGAAGAACGUGCUUGAGAAGUCUGAAGAUGACAAAAUCAACCGACUCUUGGUUGCCAUGAAAAAGCGCGGUGCAGUAGACACGCAAGAUCGACCCUUCAAGUGCACCCACUGCCCCUGGGCCUUCAAGAAGCUGUGCAACCUCCAGAGUCACCUGCAGACCCACUCCGGCCUCAAGCCGCACGUGUGUGACAUCUGCGGCAAAGCAUACUCCCACCAGGGUACGCUGCAGCAGCACAAGCGGCUGCACACAGGGGAGCGGCCGUACCGCUGCCCCUUCUGCGCCAAAUCCUACGUCUGGUCUUCUGACUACCGCAAACACAUCCGCACUCACACGGGGGAGAAGCCCUACAACUGCGCCACCUGUGGCAAGGACUUCAUUCGCUCCUCCGACCUGCGCAAACAUGAGCGCAACAUGCACACAAACGACAAGCCGUUCCCGUGCGCACGUUGCGGCAGGACCUUUAACAAGCCACUAUCCCUGCAGCGCCAUGAGCGCACGCACUUGGGGGAGCGACCUUUCGCAUGUCCGGACUGCGGGAAGACCUUCACGCUCGCUAGCCGCAUGGCGGAGCAUCAGAAAGCGCACAAGGGCGUGCGCCCGUAUGUGUGCACGGUGUGCUCCAAGACUUUUACCAAGUCCUCCAAUCUGGCGGAGCACGAGGCCAUCCACAGCGGCCUGCGACCCUUCACUUGCACGGACUGCGGUGCCGCCUUUGCCGCCGCAUCCCGCCUGGUCCGGCACCGGUUCGUGCACGUGGACGAGAAGCCACACCGAUGCUCCGCGUGCAGCCGGAACUUCAGCCAGCUUGACCGUCUGCAGCUGCACGAGGAGCAGAGCUGUGCGGGACGCAUCUUUGUCUGCGGGAGCUGCGACAGAGCCUUUCGAGGAGCAUCCAAGCUAGCAGAGCACGUGCUCACGCAUGUGCGUGAACCCAUAGAGACAUGCUAAAAGCAGACUAUGGCAAGCAAAAGGCAUCAUAAAUCAUCCUGGGACAACACAAGACUGUGUAAAAACUACACCUGACUGCACAGCUGCAUUACAACCACUGCGCGGCGUUAUGCCAGCUGUAACUCUCACCUUCCUGUUGAGUUCCUGUAAGCGAGCAAGAAGAGGUACAAGAAGUUUCCAUCAGCGCAACACUGACACUGGAGCUGACAGCUGAAACCUUGAGGGGGGGGUUCUUUUAGAAAGAAUGUAAAUGACCCUAAUGAGACGCAACACUGCGCUACAGUGCAUGUGGAGGGCUGGCUAAGCUGCUCUGACACGAACCUCGCAGGACGCACUGUCCCACCAAGACUUGGCAUCCAAAUAAGACACCCCCCCCCCCCCCCCACAACAACAACAUGACUGAACUUGAAUGAAUGAAAGUUUUGGAAGAUGAUGAUGCAGUUUGAUGAAAUAACUUGAAUCCUGCCACAUGUGUUCAGUCAUGAGAACAGACUGUGAAACAGACACUAACGUUUCUAAGAAACUUUCCUUUGUUACAACAGUUAUCAGGAGUAGAGGAUCUGCAGGUGAAAUACUUUGGAGUGGGAACAAUCCAUGUCAAUCCUCUAACAAAGAAAGUACUGUCCGAAACUCACAAAUGGUCCAUAGAAAAAGCAUACAUCAAUCAACAAACCCAGGUUCUCCCCAUUAAAGGGGAGCUUGACAGGUAAACGUGUAAGAAAAACGCAGAGCUGGCACACCUGAGUGACAGGAGCUCUCCAACAACUUAAAUGUUGCUGUCAGAAGACUUUAUCAGAGACAGCUGUCUACUUCUACAAAUUGGAAAAGUGAAAUAGCAAAACUCUAAAGUUACUCUGCAGUAAUUAGAACAAAUCAGAUUCCACUUCAAAGACCCAGUCAGAUGAAAAAACGUAAAAUUGCAAAAAAA